GGUUCUAUGGUGUAGUGGUUAGCACUCUGGACAUUGAAUCCAACGACCUGGGUUCAAAUCCCGGUAGGACCU
rfam:Picea glauca, whole genome shotgun sequence.